UACGUAGGGGGCAAGCGUUGUCCGGAUUUAUUGGGCGUAAAGAGCGUGUAGGCGGCCAUACAGGUCAGCUGUGAAAACUCGAGGCUCAACCUCGAGACGUCGGUUGAAACCGUAUGGCUAGAGUCCGGAAGAGGAGAGUGGAAUUCCCGGUGUAGCGGUGAAAUGCGCAGAUAUCGGGAGGAACACCAGUGGCGAAGGCGGCGACCUGGGCCAAUAUUGACGCUGAGGUGCGAAAGCGUGGGGAGCAAACAGG
rnacentral:rRNA from 1 species